rnacentral:rRNA from 1 species
GACGAACGCUGGCGGCGCGCCUAACACAUGCAAGUCGAGCGAUGAAAUUUUAACCGCUCUCUUCGGAGAGAAGAUAAAAUGGAUUAGCGGCGGACGGGUGAGUAACACGUGAGAAACCUGCCUUUCACAAGGGGAUAGCCUCGGGAAACCGGGAUUAAUACCCUAUGACACAUUUCCUUCGCAUGGAAGAAAUGUUAAAACUCCGGUGGUGAAAGAUGGUCUCGCGCCUGAUUAGCUAGUUGGUGGGGUAACGGCCCACCAAGGCCAUGAUCAGUAACCGGCCUGAGAGGGUGAACGGUCACAUUGGAACUGAGACACGGUCCAAACUCCUACGGGAGGCAGCAGUGGGGAAUAUUGCACAAUGGAGGAAACUCUGAUGCAGCGACGCCGCGUGAGCGAUGAAGGCUUUCGAGUCGUAAAGCUCUGUCCUAUGGGAAGAUAAUGACGGUACCAUAGGAGGAAGGCCCGGCUAACUACGUG